rnacentral:rRNA from 1 species
AGAGUUUGAUCCUGGCUCAGGAUGAACGCUAGCUAUAGGCUUAACACAUGCAAGUCGAGGGGAAACGGCAUUAUGUGCUUGCACAUUUUGGACGUCGACCGGCGCACGGGUGAGUAUCGCGUAUCCAACCUGCCCUUUACUUGGGGAUACCCCGUUGAAAGACGGCCUAAUACCCGAUGUAAUUCAUUGAUGGCAUCAGAUAUGAAUAAAAGAUUUAUCGGUAAAGGAUGGGGAUGCGUCUGAUUAGCUUGUUGGUGAGGUAAAGGCUCACCAAGGCAACGAUCAGUAGGGGUUCUGAGAGGAAGGUCCCCCACAUUGGAACUGAGACACGGUCCAAACUCCUACGGGAGGCAGCAGUGAGGAAUAUUAUUGCAUGUAUCGUAUGAAUAAGGACCGGCUAAUUCCGUGCCAGCAGCCGCGGUAAUACGGAAGGUCCAGGCGUUAUCCGGAUUUAUUGGGUUUAAAGGGAGUGUAGGCGGUUUGUUAAGCGUGUUGUGAAAUUUAGGUGCUCAACAUUUAACUUGCAGCGCGAACUGUCAGACUUGAGUACACGCAACGUAUGCGGAAUUCAUGGUGUAGCGGUGAAAUGCUUAGAUAUCAUGAAGAACUCCGAUUGCGAAGGCAGCAUACGGGAGUGUAACUGACGCUUAAGCUCGAAGGUGCGGGUAUCGAACAGGAUUAGAUACCCUGGUAGUCCGCACAGUAAACGAUGGAUGCCCGCUGUUAGCGCCUGGCGUUAGCGGCUAAGCGAAAGCAUUAAGCAUCCCACCUGGGGAGUACGCCGGCAACGGUGAAACUCAAAGGAAUUGACGGGGGCCCGCACAAGCGGAGGAACAUGGACACUGCCACCGCAAGGUGCGAGGAAGGUGGGGAUGACGUCAAAUCAGCACGGCCCUUACGUCCGGGGCUACACACGUGUUACAAUGGCCGGUACAGAGGGACGGUGCAAUGCAAGUUGCAUCCAAUCUUGAAAUCCGGUCCCAGUUCGGACUGGGGUCUGCAACCCGACCCCACGAAGCUGGAUUCGCUAGUAAUCGCGCAUCAGCCAUGGCGCGGUGAAUACGU